ACGAACGCUGGCGGCAUGCCUCACACCUGCCAGUCGCACGCGACCUUCGGGUCUAGUGGCGCACGGGUGCGUCACGCGUGGGAACCUGCCCUUAGGUUCGGAAUAACUCCCCGAAAGGGGUGCUAAUACCGGAUAAUGUCUUCGGACCAAAGAUUUAUCGCCUUUGGAUGGGCCCGCGUUGGAUUAGCUAGUUGGUAGGGUAAAAGCCUACCAAGGCGACGAUCCAUAGCUGGUCUGAGAGGAUGAUCAGCCACACUGGGACUGAGACACGGCCCAGACUCCUACGGGAGGCAGCAGUGGGGAAUAUUGGACAAUGGGCGAAAGCCUGAUCCAGCAAUGCCGCGUGAGUGAUGAAGGCCUUAGGGUUGUAAAGCUCUUUUACCCGGGAUGAUAAUGACAGUACCGGGAGAAUAAGCUCCGGCUAACUCCGUG
rnacentral:rRNA from 1 species